GAUGAAGAACGUAGCGAAAUGCGAUACGUAAUGUGAAUUGCAGAAUUCAGUGAAUCAUCGAAUCUUUGAACGCAUAUUGCGCUCUCUGGUAUUCCGGAGAGCAUGCUUGUUUGAGUAUCAGUAAACACCUCAACUUCCAUAUCUUUUUUGAAAUGGGAGUUGGACUUGAGUGAUCCCAACGCUUUUCCUCACCGAAAAGUGGCGGGUUACUUGAAAUGCAGGUGCAGCUGGACUUUUCUCUGAGCUAUAAGCAUAUCUAUUUAGUCUGCCUAAAAAACAGAUUAUUACCUUUGCUGCAGCUAACAUAAAGGAGAUUAGUUCUUGUGCUGACUGAUGCAGGAUUCACAAAGACGGCUUCGGCCGACUUUGUAAACUCGAUCUCAAAUCAAGUAAGACUACCCGCUGAACUUAAGCAUAUCAAUAAACGGAGGA
rnacentral:misc_RNA from 1 species